CAGACCUACACAACUCAUUUACAAACCUACACAACUCAUUCACAAACCUUUUUGUGUCAAUAGGCUGUGGUCAAAUAAAGAGAGAGUCAACAAAUAGGCUAUUCAUAUUUAUUGUAUGAUUUAUUUCCUGUGAGCUUUUUUAUGCAAGUUUGUACAUUAGCAUGAAACUUACAGUGCAGUUUGCGUUUUUGGUGAAUAACCAGGUGUUUUCUUUAUUUUGUACAUUCUAUAUUGUCAAUGUUUAAUUUAACCUGAAGGGGCAUUAAAAACAAAUAAUCGCAAAAGUCCCCUCUGGUGGCGUAUAUAUGCGUUGCACCAUAAGUGAAAAGGAUUUUUUUUCAAACUGAGGAGUUCGGACUCCGGACCGGCAUUUCUGCUUGUUGGCCUGAGGUAAGUAAACUUUCUACAUUUUUGAAACGAUAUUACACUCUAAAAAACGUGAGCCAGUUGGGUUAUAUUGUUUGGUUGUUUUAUCAGUGUUGGGUAGUUUUUGUGUAACCCAACUUGUUGGGUUAUAUGUUGGGUAAUUUUGAAGCAGAGCCAGCUUAAUAGAUACAUAGCUGUUUCUCAAUAUUACUUUCUCUAGUCCACAAAAUGUAUUUUAAACAUAAGUUCAGGCGAGAAUAUAUAUGUAUAAUGUUCAAAUUUGCAGUCGGUUUGUAAAGUGAACGCCAAUUUUAAAGUUUAAUUACACAAAGUCGGAAUGUUACCGGCGUGACCACCGGGUGUCAGUGUUCUGCUUCCCCAGAGAGAACUGCUCCCUUCCCCCACACAGAGCAGCUGAACUUCUGCCUCUCACUGCAACGGUACCUGAAGCCGGAGUUUACUAUUCACCUCAGGAUUCAUGAACAGUUUUUCAUCGACUUAUCUCUGAUUUAUUUGAAGGAAAAGACCCUGAUGGAUAAAAGAUGGAUAUUUUUUCCUGGAGAAGCUAAAACAAUGUAACUUUGAGGUUCUGAUACCAGCUUUUACAAAGUUAUUUACAGAGUUCACCAGACUUCUCUGUGUUAUUUCCUGACCAUGCCGAAAAGCUAUUUGAAACUUGGGCAUUGCAUUUUCCAGACAGAAUCCUGCACUUCCCAGCCAAGAACCAGGAGCAUCAACAAAUCACCUACAGGUACACUUGGGAAUACAAUAGUUGUUUGCUGUGUAUUAUGACAAUAAAGUUACUAAUUUAACCUAAACAUUUAUCUCUACAGAACCCUAUGAUGAUAUUCCAACUCCUGUCUACAAAAGUGGGAAGAAAAUCUUAAGUCUAUGUUGGGACCAACAUGGUUGCAUUCUUCUGAGAGCCUGAUGUGACAAAACCAUUCCCAUUUGUCCUUGGAUUGGAAGAUGGCGAUCUCUGCCAUCAAGCCUUCGUUGUUUUUGACAGACAGUCACUCCAGCAAUACACCCUCCUUGGUGAUGUUGACAUGUUUUAAACUUUUUUUUAUGUUUUGGACAUUCAUUUUACUAAGCAGUGCACAUCAGUGUGGGUGUUUUUGAAGACUGUUGUUUACAAACUCCCAAGAACGGAAUCCCUUUCUAUAAGAAGUCUGUGUAGUUAUUUGUCAUGCUAAGGUGAUAACUCAUGUUGAUCAUAUAUUGACUGUUUGUGCAACUUUGUGUUGAUCUUAUGUGUUACAUUAACCAUUUCUUAUUACACGGUUCUCUAAAAUGCUAGAUUCUGAGUGGCCAGUCGUGACAUUCUACUACUGCUCAAAACUAAAAACUCCAAUGCUGCAAAUCAUUUUGACAGGUACAGUUUUAUAUUACACAAAAAUUAAAUAUCAAUGUCUAUUAAUUACAUAUCCGACAUUAAAUUUAUAAAUGAUUA